UGUAAUACUGUAUAAUCCCUGCGGGGGAAAGAUUUAUCGCUAUUAGAUGAGCCUAUGUCAGAUUAGCUAGUUGGUGGGGUAAUGGCCUACCAAGGCGGUGAUCUGUAGCUGGUCUGAGAGGAUGAUCAGCCACACUGGAACUGAGACACGGUCCAGACUCCUACGGGAGGCAGCAGUGGGGAAUAUUGGACAAUGGGCGCAAGCCUGAUCCAGCUAUGCCGCGUGAGUGAGGAAGGCCUUAGGGUUGUAAAACUCUUUCAGUAGGGAAGAUAAUGACGGUA
rnacentral:rRNA from 1 species